UACGAAGGGGGCUAGCGUUGCUCGGAAUCACUGGGCGUAAAGGGCGCGUAGGCGGACUCUUAAGUCGGGGGUGAAAGCCCAGGGCUCAACCCUGGAAUUGCCUUCGAUACUGAGAGUCUUGAGUUCGGAAGAGGUUGGUGGAACUGCGAGUGUAGAGGUGAAAUUCGUAGAUAUUCGCAAGAACACCAGUGGCGAAGGCGGCCAACUGGUCCGAUACUGACGCUGAGGAGCGAAAGCGUGGGUAGCAAACAGG
rnacentral:rRNA from 1 species